CAGAUUACUGACAAAGCGCUGAUGCCAGGGAGAUCAAAAUAGUUUUUGUUGUCAAAGUGAAGGAAGCUGCAUGCCAGAGGAGAAGUAUGGUAUUUUAUGAAAAGACAUGCUAUGAAUGAUGAAAGGCUCUAUUUCAGCAAGUCACAGGCAGAAAAGUCCAAAACAAUUGAAUAGAACUGCAGCAUUGUUGAAAGGUUUUACUCCCAUCGCCCAGGUGGAGAGCAGCAGCGCACUCGUGUGAACCUUGAUUUUUUUGGCAUGUAAAAUGGGGUUAAUAAAAGUAUCACUAGCUAUGAGAA